GUGGAUAAGCCGAGGAGUUCUUUUUCGUCUUGGAGCUUGUAUAAGCAGAAUACAGCUUUUGAGACAUCAACUCCGUGGUGUAAACUUUUGUCAGAGUCUGCACAGAAUCCGAAUGUACUCAUUUAUCCAUACAGUUACACUAUUGGUUCAAACAAGAAUUGCAAUUUCCCGCUGAAGGAUCAGAGUGGAAUUCUGUGCAAGAUCAAACACACGCAGCGCGAGGGAAGUGCUGUAGCUGUUCUAGAAAGUACGGGAACCAAGGGAUCAGUGCAAGUAAAUGGUG
rnacentral:misc_RNA from 1 species